UCUACAGAAUAUGCUCUCCAUGAGGGUGUUCUUCAGGGCCUACCACAAUGGCUGGCACUAGAGAAGGGCACAAAAUUGAAGAACAGUGAAGACAAAAGCAAUAAGAUGAUUAAGGCCAUGUGAGACAGCAACAAUAUCAGUGUCAACAGUGGCGGAAAGGGAAGUUUGUAUCACCUGUGUUAAUGCUGCUCUGGAAAGGGAGCCAGAAUGAGAGUGCACAGUGAUCACACAGUCACCAUCAAAUAAACCAUGACUACGCACAUACUCUGGGAUGGCUGCAUCUCUCCUGUGGGAAAGAGAGAGAUAGAAAGAGAGAGCAACAUGUCAUCCGAUGACUGCAGCCUAGAUGGAUAUGGCUGUGAUAGAGUGCUUCAAUUGGAAUCUGC
rnacentral:lncRNA from 10 species